rnacentral:rRNA from 1 species
CCCUUAGAUGUUCUGGGCUGUACGCGUGCUACACUGAUAUUGCCAAUAUGUCAUUCUUAUCCGAAAUGGAUUGGGUAAUCAAGUAAUGAAAUUUCAUGCUUGGAAUCGGUAAUUGCAAUUUUAUCGUGAACGAGGAAUUCCUAGUAAGCACUAGUCAUCAGCUAAUGUUGAUUAUGUCCCUGCCCUUUGUACACACCGCCCGUCGCUACUACUGAUUGGGUGUUCAAGUGAGAUGCUUAGACCCUUGUUGCAUGGUUCAUUAUUGUGCUCCGAAAGGAAAAAGUUUCAAGCUUGAGUGUCUAGAGGAAGUAAAAGUCGUAACA